rnacentral:rRNA from 1 species
AGUGAACGCUGGCGGUAGGCCUAACACAUGCAAGUCGAACGGCAGCACAGAGGAGCUUGCUCCUUGGGUGGCGAGUGGCGGACGGGUGAGGAAUACAUCGGAAUCUACUCUGUCGUGGGGGAUAACGUAGGGAAACUUACGCUAAUACCGCAUACGACCUACGGGUGAAAGCAGGGGACCUUCGGGCCUUGCGCGAUUGAAUGAGCCGAUGUCGGAUUAGCUAGUUGGCGGGGUAAAGGCCCACCAAGGCGACGAUCCGUAGCUGGUCUGAGAGGAUGAUCAGCCACACUGGAACUGAGACACGGUCCAGACUCCUACGGGAGGCAGCAGUGGGGAAUAUUGGACAAUGGGCGAAAGCCUAAUCCAGCCAUACCGCGUGGGUGAAGAAGGCCUUCGGGUUGUAAAGCCCUUUUGUUGGGAAAGAAAUCCAGCUGGCUAAUACCCGGUUGGGAUGACGGUACCCAAAGAAUAAGCACCGGCUAACUUCGUGCCAGCAGCCGCCGUAA